rnacentral:rRNA from 1 species
AACGGCCGCGGUAUUUUGACCGUGCAAAGGUAGCGCAAUCACUUGUCUUUUAAAUAAAGACCUGUAUGAAUGGCAUAACGAGGGCUUAACUGUCUCCUUUUCCCUAUCAAUGAAAUUGAUCUCCCCGUGCAGAAGCGGGGAUUUACACAUAAGACGAAAAGACCCUAUGGAGCUUAAGCCGCAAGAACAUAACAUGUUACUUCUUUCACUUAAAAUAUGAAACCUUAGUGAACCCUGUUCAAGUGUCUUUGGUUGGGGCGACCACGGAGUAUAAUAUACCCUCCAUGAGGAAUAAAGGUAUUCCUUUCUAUCUAAGGAUAACUAUCCUAAGGAUUAGAAUUUCUAACCGUAAUGAUCCGGCAAAGCCGAUCAACGAACCGAGUUACCCUAGGGAUAACAGCGCAAUCCUCUUUUAGAGCCCAUAUCGACAAGAAGGUUUACCACCUCGAUGUUGGAUCAGGACAUCCCAAU